CCUACGGAGGCAGCAGUGGGGAAUAUUGGACAAUGGGCGAAAGCCUGAUCCAGCCAUGCCGCGUGUGUGAAGAAGGCCUUCGGGUUGUAAAGCACUUUCAGUGGGGAAGAAAGCCUUGGGGCUAAUACCCUCGAGGAAGGACAUCACCCACAGAAGAAGCACCGGCUAACUCCGUGCCAGCAGCCGCGGUAAUACGGAGGGUGCGAGCGUUAAUCGGAAUUACUGGGCGUAAAGCGCGCGUAGGCGGUCUGAUAAGCCGGUUGUGAAAGCCCCGGGCUCAACCUGGGAACGGCAUCCGGAACUGUCAGGCUAGAGUGCAGGAGAGGAAGGUAGAAUUCCCGGUGUAGCGGUGAAAUGCGUAGAGAUCGGGAGGAAUACCAGUGGCGAAGGCGGCCUUCUGGACUGACACUGACGCUGAGGUGCGAAAGCGUGGGUAGCAAACAGGAUUAGAUACCCGUGUGGUC
rnacentral:rRNA from 1 species